AGCGGACUGCUCGAGCUG
rnacentral:snRNA from 1 species